rnacentral:rRNA from 1 species
GGUUGGGUUGUUGCUGGCUUCUAGGAGCAUGUGCACGUCUAAUCCAUUUUUAACCACCUGUGCACCCUAUGUAGACUUGAACAGCUCUCGAGACAAUGUACUCGGUUUGAGAAUUGCUGAUGUGAAAGCUCCAGCUCUUCUUGUGUUCAAGUCUAUGUCUUAUAUUACACCCCAUACGAAUGUAUUAGAAUGUAAUGAAUUGGCCUUGUGCCUUUAAAACAUAAAUACAACUUUCAACAACGGAUCUCUUGGCUCUCGCAUCGAUGAAGAACGCAGCGAAAUGCGAUAAGUAAUGUGAAUUGCAGAAUUCAGUGAAUCAUCGAAUCUUUGAACGCACCUUGCGCUCCUUGGUAUUCCGAGGAGCAUGCCUGUUUGAGUGUCAUGAAAUUCUCAACCUUUCUGGCUUUUGCUAGUCAGGCUUGGAUUAUGGGAGCUGCUGGCUUUUGAAGUCGGCUCUUCUAAAAUGUAUUAGCAAGAUCAUUGCUGCUCAUCAUUGGUAUGAUAAUUAUCUAUAUCAUUGAGAGUCAGUUUCCUUUAUUGGAAGAUUUUGCUCCUAACGGUCUUUAGCAAGACAACAUUUGACAAUUUUGACCUCAAAUCAGGUAGGACUACCCGCUGAACUUAAGCAUAUCAAUA